CCGCGCCUGCCGCUGCGGCGGGGCCGCCUCCGCGUACCCCCGGCCGGCGCCCGGCCUCACAGGGCGGCGGCGUGGGAGCGCCCCCGCGCCGUGCCCGCCGUCCCAGGGCCCUCCCGCCCGCGGAGCGCGGCCACCGAGGCGGGGGCGAGCCGCGCCGUGCCCAAGGUGACCCCGGAGGCCGAGCGCGCCGCGGCCCUGCGGCUGCGCCCGCCCGGCGCCGGGGGCUCGGCCGCCUCCCCCUGAGCAUCCCCGGGACACCCGCCCCGCGGAGCCGCCGCCGCCGGCCGGGCCGUCCCGGCCGGGCCUGCACCCGGCAGCGUACGCGGGGAAACUCGCAUUUGCCGCCUCUUCGCAAAUCGUAUUUACACGGCUCAACAGACUAUAGAAAAAACAUACAGAAAGGGAGCGAGCUGCCAGGAAAGAUUUUUUUUUUUCCUCCCCCUUUUUGCUGCCACUCAUGUCAUAAAUAGCUACAGCUACCGUAUUGUGACUUCCAAGUCGAUGAUAGCUCUCUUUAAAUAUAUAUGUUUACGGUGUGAAUGCUUUGGGUGUUUUAGCUCUGGAAGGAAAUGCUAAUCAAAAAGAAGGCUCUGUUUUAUGUGCCUGAAAGUGGGGUGAGUGGAGAGCAGAAGUGCUAGCCUUAUGGAUCACAAGCUGCGUAUCUGCUGCCAGGACAAUUUAUGUGACACCCAGCCUCUACUGGCAGCAUUCUUUCCCCAAGGCUGCAGGAAUUGCUCUGGCAGCAGCCAUCCUGGCUACCAUCUUCCACAGCGCCUGUCCAAAUCCUCUCUUGACACCCUGUGCUGCCUACUGGUGCAGUACACGCUGUCAGCCUGAUACUGAAUUACCAUGCCCGCUGUAAGACAGGAUUUUGUACACAUACACUAAUGUGCACUAAAGCAGAUACCUCUGGGAAGUUUCCAGUCUGCUCAGGCUGUGCAGCAGAGUACAUUGAGUGUGAACACAGGGCUGACCUGGCCAGCGCGUGGCUCCACCCUGACAACCUGCCUGGAUCAUCCAGCUGCAAGGUCUGGGGAACACCUACCUGAAUUAUCAUGAUGUUUUGUAGGUUGAGGUUCUAUCAAUGAACAGUUAAGGGACUUUCUCUUGGUUUUCACAUUUUCACUCGCAUUAUCUGUGUGAUACUGCUUGCUUCAGAAGAGUACCUGUGUUUUUAUGGUUAAAGAAGAUGUCUAUGGGGAAGCCAGAUCUUUAUUGCUUUGAAGAUCAGAAACCAGUCUUGGACACAGUGGGGAAAUAACCUGCAAGCCACUGGGGGUGGUGAAGCUGCUACUGUUGAAGAGAGCUGUCUCAUUUUGCCAAAGCUGGAGUCCCUGCUUUUUUCACGCACUUAACCACAGGUUCAGUGAGUUACUGGUAAUUCAUUCUGCCAGGGAAGGGCAUGUAGAUUGAAAUGGCCAGAUCUGCACCAGGAGAAGUUAAGCUUGGGAAAAAAUGAGGGUACUUUUGCCAUCAACCACCCCGAUCCCUCAGACAAUGACAAAAAAUAGAAACCUGAGGUGCUGUAGCAUUUGAGUAAAUGCUUGAAGACACUAUCACACAUAGGUAAAGAUGCUACCCCAGUUUUAAACAUUUUCCCUACUCCAGCCAUCAUCAUUUUCAUUUUGGCCAGAUUGAAUCUGAGUCAGCUGAUUUUCAUCCAGGUGCUGACAGGCAUUUUGAUUUCCUUGAGAAGAGGCAGCAGCAUCACUAACAAAUGAGGUUUUUCCAGACUACUGGCACAUCUCCUGCUCUCAGCUAACCCCGACUUUGCCAGCGUGGGAUGUUUUUCUAGCAGGUUGCUAAAGUGCCAAGAAGCAUAUGUAUCUCUUGGAGAAUAUGGAAGUUAUUUUCCAAAUUUUACAGCUUCUGACCCAGAAACAGGAAUAUUCAUCACUGCAGCAUAAUUUCAGACCUGCCAAGAAUAUAUCAAUUAUGUCAUAUAGAUGUGCUAAGGGAACAGAUGAAAGCUGGAGCAUGGCAAUUCCCUGCACUAGCUGUACAGAGAGCGAUGAAAUGCAUCCUUGUGCAGUUAGGACCAGAUAUGCUGAUGCCCAAUUCGUUCCUGUUGAGGACCCAUCCUCACAGAGAGGAGCAAAAGGUCUUACGUUGUGUUUUCACAGUAUCUGAGGUUACCAGCACCUGAGUUUGCAGUGAAACUACAGCACCUUGGCCAACAACUUGCCCUGCCAGAUCUCCUAAAAAAUGCUUUUUGAUGUCGUCCGAUUGUGAAUCCAGAAGGAACCUGGAGCCUUAGGGAAGCCUGCUGCGCACUGUGACCGUUAUAAUUCUGAGGGAUGUUCCAGUUCAAAGAAGGAGGGACUCUUAAAUAGGGGUAACUUGGUCUUACUUCAGUGUGACUGGGUACAACUAAAGCAAGAAGGUCCAAAGGAAGCUUACACCAGCAGCCAACACUUCACCACUGCCACCCUUGCUUUCCUAGCAUUAGUUGUUUCCCGAGAUAGCCACUGGUUCAAGUAAACAUGUAAACACAGAAGCAAGGGUUUAUACAUUCCCUUAUUGAUUUUUAACUACACUUAUUUCACCACAAAGCUCUCAAGAGCCAUAAAGUUGCAAGGCGGGUUUUUGUUUUUUUUUUUUCUGGUGUUUUAAACAUAUUUUAUAUAAACAGGUACCUUUGGGCCAUGUUUUUGCCUGCCAUCAGUAUUGUCCCUUGACAAGAUGGUGUUUGUCAAAUUUUCUAUGGAUACAGCUAAAUAUUCAUUCAUAGGAGGCGGCAGGUGUUGUUUCGUGAUCAAUGUCCUGCUGAGCAGACACGUUUUUUGCAGAGUUAAACUACAGGCUUCCUUCACGGCCAAGUCCAGCUGCUCAGUCCUUGGCCUUUAUCUCCUGUGAUCAUUCCGUAUGGGGGUGUAGUCUCCUGCUAUCAGCCAAGCAGCACCUGCCUUCAGUUGCUUGUAAUUGUUCUGCAGAUUAUUCCAUAUUUGUAGAGCACACUGCCUACAAAUUUGUGAUCCAGAAAUAACUAAUUGCUGUUAAGGAAAAUUCUUACUUACUUGUCUCUAACUGACUUUGUGAUCCUUUUGUGCAUAUCCAGAUGCCAUUAGGCUCAUUUUAAAAGUUUCCUUAUCCAUAUCAAGAGAAGUCUUUUGCUUUUCUACAUGCGUUCCAAUUUUUUUUGAUCUGUGCUAGACUAUUCAGUCUAAAAAAAGCAAGAUAUUUUAUAUUAUCUUGAGUUGCAGCACUUCCAAAUAGUUGAUUGUGUACAAAAAUCAAGUAGAGAAAAAAACAAAAAAAUAAUUCCAGAUAUUUUUAUUGUCUUUUAGCAGUUCAGAAAUGUAUUUGGAUUGCUGCACAUGAACUGUAGAAGAAAUGAAACUUAAAUCAAAAUUGAUGGUAUAGUUGUUUGACAUUAGAUUCUAGUCUUGUCAGAUUUGAAUAGAAAUACGAGGUGUAUAGUCAAAGUUAUUCAAAUGCAUAGCGGUUUAUAAAACUAUAUAGUAAAAUGCUUUCAGGGUAGUUGACUUAAUUACCUGCAUGCUUACCAUAACUGAGAGGUGAUCAAUAUUAUACUGAUGUUUGUUUGUUCUUACUUUAUAUCGUGACCCUGAAUCGCUUACCUUUUACCAAAUAAAGAAAAUUAAAACAAAAAA